rnacentral:rRNA from 1 species
GUGAGUCAUCGAGUCUUUGAACGCACCUUGCGCCCUUGGGUAUUCUCAAGGGCAUGCCUGUUUGAGUGUCAUAACAUGUUCAGCUCCCAGCCUUUUUGAAAGAGAAGGUUGCUUGGAGUUGGUGAUGGACGUUUUUUGCCAGACCUUACCGUCUUGCUCGUCUUAAAUCGAUCAGCGGAAUCAUCUUUUGAGUCCAGUCUGACUAUGUGUGAUAAUUUGAUCACAUAGAAUGUGGGCUUGCCCUACAACCGCAUCUUGAAGGACUCUGCUUCCAACACGGAAUGGUCUUGGACCAUCGUUAGCCUUUUAAUGCUUGACCUCAAAUCAGGUAGGACUACCCGCUGAACUUAA